rnacentral:snRNA from 1 species
UUAGCACAUCCCAAAUCUCAC